rnacentral:lncRNA from 1 species
GCCGAGGCUGUGCGCCACAGAGCCCCGGUGAGUCAGCAGUCCCGAAACACUCUGCCAGCGGCUGCCUGGCUCUGCGCUACGAGGAGAAACACGCCAUUCUCGCAGAGUGCAUGUGCACAUGCUUGGGGCCGCGCUGGGCAGGGCCAAGUGGAGAUGGUGCUGCACACCCAGGCCUCGGCAAUACAGAAGAGAAAUCAACCAGCAAACCAAGAAGGAACUGAGCUGCAAG